UCCCUGGUGGUCCAAUGGCUAAGACUCAGCGCUCUGAAUGCAGGGGUCCUGGGUUCGAUCCCUGACCAGGGAA
rnacentral:tRNA from 1 species